rnacentral:rRNA from 1 species
UACGAAGGGGGCUAGCGUUGCUCGGAAUCACUGGGCGUAAAGCGCACGUAGGCGGCUUUCUAAGUCAGGGGUGAAAUCCUGGAGCUCAACUCCAGAACUGCCUUUGAUACUGGAGAGCUUGAGUCCGGAAGAGGUGAGUGGAACUCCGAGUGUAGAGGUGAAAUUCGUAGAUAUUCGGAAGAACACCCGUGGCGAAGGCGGCUCUCUGGGACGGUACUGACGCUGAGACGCGAAAGCGUGGGGAGCGAACAGG